rnacentral:rRNA from 1 species
UGAGGAAUAUUGGUCAAUGGAUGAGAAUCUGAACCAGCCAAGUAGCGUGAAGGAUGACUGCCCUAUGGGUUGUAAACUUCUUUUAUAAAGGAAUAAAGUGAGUUACGUGUAACUCAUUGCAUGUACUUUAUGAAUAAGGAUCGGCUAACUCCGUGCCAGCAGCCGCGGUAAUACGGAGGAUCCGAGCGUUAUCCGGAUUUAUUGGGUUUAAAGGGAGCGUAGAUUGAUGCUUAAGUCAGUUGUGAAAGUUUGAGGCUUAACCUUAAAAUUGCAGUUGAUACUGGACAUCUUGAGUACGGAUGAGGCAGGCGGAAUUCGUGGUGUAGCGGUGAAAUGCUUAGAUAUCACGAAGAACUCCGAUUGCGAAGGCAGCUUGCUAAACCGCCACUGACAUUGAGGCUCGAAAGUGUGGGUAUCAAACAGGAUUAGAUACCCUGGUA